rfam:Mucor circinelloides f. lusitanicus CBS 277.49 MTCCIscaffold_06, whole genome shotgun sequence.
GGGAUGUUGGCUCAAUUGGUAGAGCGUCAGAUUCCAAAUCUGAAGGUCAAGAGUUCGAUUCUCUUACGUCUCA